rnacentral:sRNA from 1 species
CGCAGGAUCAUUACUAGCUUCUUACCUUAGGGGGGUAAACCUCUUAGCGAGAACUCCACCCUUUGUUUUUUACCUUUGGUGCUUUAGCAGGGCCGUUCUCGCCCCGCCGGCAAUAGCUGGUCCGCGCCUGCUAAAAGACCUAAAACUCGUGUUAAUAAUAUUGCCUGAGUACUAUAAUAAUAGUUAAAACUUUCAACAACGGAUCUCUUGGUUCUGGCAUCGAUGAAUAACGCAGCGAAAUGCGAUAAGUAAUGUGAAUUGCAAAAUUCUGUGAAUCAUCAAAUCUUUGAACGCACAUUGCGCCCUCUGGUAUUCCGGGGGGCAUGCCUGUUCGAGCGUCAUUACAACCCUCAAGCUCUGCUUGGUAUUAGGCUCCACCUGCUACAGGCGGGCCUCAAAAUCAGUGGCGGUGCCUUCUGGCUUCAAGCGUAAUAAUAUUUCUCGUUUGGGAGUACCGGUCGCGUCCCCCCCUAUAAAACCCCAAUUUUUAACGGCUGACCUCGGAUCAAGUAGGGAUACCCUCUGACCUUAAGCAUAUCAAUAAGCGGAGGAAAAUCGGGUAGUACGGUCCGCCUUAACUCUUGCAUUACAACGACACGAGAGGAAACUGAGGAAU